GCUUACGGCCAUACCAGCCUGGGUACGCCCGAUCUCGUCUGAUCUCGGAAGCGAAGCAGUGUCGGGCCUGGUUAGUACUUGGAUGGGAGACCGCCUGGGAAUACCAGGUGCUGUAAAGA
rnacentral:rRNA from 1 species